AUCUUUUCGGUGUCGGGCACAGGAAGGUUUGAGCUUCCUAGAGGGAAAUUUUCACCCAAAAGAUU
rnacentral:tRNA from 1 species